GCCGCAUUCGUCUAGAGGCCUAGGACAUCAGGUUUUCAUCCUGAAGAUCAGGGGUUCGAAUCCCCUAUGCGGUA
rnacentral:tRNA from 1 species